rnacentral:pre_miRNA from 12 species
CGCUUAUGCCCACACCCUGGCAUCUGGCUCUGAGAACUGAAUUCCAUAGGCUGUGAGCUCAUGCAGAUGCCCUAGGAAGUCAGUUCUGGAGCCCGGUGGCCUCAAUCUGGUGGAGUCCAG